rnacentral:rRNA from 1 species
AACAAGGUCUCCGUUGGUGAACCAGCGGAGGGAUCAUUACAGAGUGUAAAAACUCCCAAACCCUUUGUGAACAUACCACUGUUGCCUCGGCGGACCUACCCGGUAGCUACCCUGUAGCUACCCUGUAGCCGCCGGCGGACCACCAAACUCUGAUUAUGUAGAUAUCUGAGCGUACUUUUAAAUAAGUCAAAACUUUCAACAACGGAUCUCUUGGUUCUGGCAUCGAUGAAGAACGCAGCGAAAUGCGAUAAGUAAUGUGAAUUGCAGAAUUCAGUGAAUCAUCGAAUCUUUGAACGCACAUUGCGCCCAUUAGUACUCUAGUGGGCAUGCCUGUUCGAGCGUCAUUACGACCCUUAAGCCUAGCUUAGUAUUGGGAACCUACGUGCGGCAGCUACCCUGUAGCUUCCCUGUAGCUCCUUAAAGACAACGGCGGAGACGUGGAGUCCUCUGAGCUUAGUAACUUUUCUAGCUUCUGAGGGCGCCGCGGCCCCUGCCGUAAAACCCCAACUUUUAGUGGUUGACCUCGGAUCAGGUAGGAAUACCCGCUGAACUUAAGCAUAUCAAUAA